AACGAACGCUGGCGGCAGGCUUAACACAUGCAAGUCGAGCGCCCCGCAAGGGGAGCGGCAGACGGGUGAGUAACGCGUGGGAAUCUACCCAUCUCUACGGAAUAACGCAUGGAAAUGUGUGCUAAUACCGUAUACGUCCUUCGGGAGAAAGAUUUAUCGGAGAUGGAUGAGCCCGCGUUGGAUUAGCUAGUUGGUGGGGUAAAGGCCUACCAAGGCGACGAUCCAUAGCUGGUCUGAGAGGAUGAUCGGCAACACUGGGACUGAGACACGGCCCCGACUCCUACGGAGGGCCGCAGUGGGGAAUAUUGGACAAUGGGCGCAAGCCUUAUCCAGCCAUGCGGCGUGAGUGAUGAAGGCCCUCGGGUUGUAAAGCUCUUUCACCGGUGAAGAUGAUGACGGUAACCGGAGAAGAAGCCCCGGCUAACUUCGUGCCAGCCGCCGCCGUAACAC
rnacentral:rRNA from 1 species